UACAGAGACUGCAAGCGUUAUUCGGAUUCACUGGGCGUAAAGGGUGCGCAGGCGGCCAAGUGUGUUAGGCGUGAAAGCCCCGGGGCUUAACCCCGGAAUUGCACCUAAAACUACAUGGCUAGAGCAUUGGAGAGGGUAGCAGAAUUCACGGUGUAGCAGUGAAAUGCGUAGAUAUCGUGAGGAAUACCAGAGGCGAAGGCGGCUACCUGGACAAUUGCUGACGCUCAGGCACGAAAGCGUGGGGGAGCAAAAGGG
rnacentral:rRNA from 1 species